UCAACUUUCGAUGGUAGGAUAGAGGCCUACCAUGGUUUUAACGGGGAAUUAGGGUUCGAUUCCGGAGAGGGAGCCUGAGAAACGGCUACCACAUCCAAGGAAGGCAGCAGGCACGCAAAUUACCCAAUCCCGACACGGGGAGGUAGUGACAAUAAAUAACAAUACGGGGCUCAUUUGGGUCCCGUAAUUGGAAUGAGUACAAUUUAAAUCUCUUAACGAGGAACAAUUGGAGGGCAAGUCUGGUGCCAGCAGCCGCGGUAAUUCCAGCUCCAAUAGCGUAUAUUAAAGUUGUUGCAGUUAAAAAGCUCAUAGUUGAACUUCGGGGUUCACCCAUUGGUCAGGCUUAAUUGUCUGUACUGGUGAGAUGAGUCUCUACCUUCUGAGGAACUUUCAUGCCAUUUAUUUGGUGUGGUUGGAAAUCAGGACUGUUACUUUGAAAAAAUUAGAGUGUUUAAAGCAGGCUAACGUCUGAAUACAUUAGCAUGGAAUAAUGAAAUAGGACGGAUUGAUUCUAUUUCGUUGGUUUCUAGGGUCACCGUAAUGAUUAAUAGGGAUAGUUGGGGGCAUUAGUAUUCAAUUGUCAGAGGUGAAAUUCUUGGAUUUAUUGAAGACUAACUACUGCGAAAGCAUUUGCCAAGGAUGUUUUCAUUAAUCAAGAACGAAAGUUAGGGGAUCGAAGACGAUCAGAUACCGUCGUAGUCUUAACCAUAAACUAUACCGACUAGGGAUCGGACGCAGUUAAUUUUAUAAUGACGUGUUCGGCACCUUACGGGAAACCAAAGUGUUUGGGUCC
rnacentral:rRNA from 1 species